GACGAACGCUGGCGGCGUGCUUAACACAUGCAAGUCGAGCGGUAAGGCCCUUCGGGGUACACGAGCGGCGAACGGGUGAGUAACACGUGAGUAAUCUGCCCUUCACUUCGGGAUAACCACCGGAAACGGUGGCUAAUACCGGAUAUGACUUCUCUUCGCAUGUUGAGAGGUGGAAAGUUCUGGCGGUGGAGGAUGUGCUCGCGGCCUAUCAGCUUGUUGGUGAGGUAAUGGCUCACCAAGGCUUCGACGGGUAGCCGGCCUGAGAGGGUGACCGGCCACACUGGGACUGAGACACGGCCCAG
rnacentral:rRNA from 1 species